GAUGGCCGAGGCACAACAAGAACCAGGAAUCCAGAGACGGCCAGUUAGGUCGUGAUAAGUGCUCCUCCCUCUUUGAAGUUUUCGUUCCUCUCACCUAACCGCUUUCCCUUCUCUGCUGCCCUCUCUUCUCCAUCGAGAUCUCCGAUCCGUCUCCUCCAAAUCGUGAAAAUUUCCCCCGAUUGUUCCCUCCAAUCUUUCCGCCUUCCCAGCCGAAACCCUCUUCCAUCCAUCGACGCAUCGAAAUCAAAGCCAUGCCCGUCUCUCAGCCUAUCACCGGCGGCUAUCGCCACAGAUAUGCCUCCAAUCGUGGCGCCGUUGGGCCACCCUAUGGGAGGAUCAUCUCGAUCCCUGGCAUCUCCAAUCCUGCCGCUUCUUCCGAUCCCUGCAGGGAACUCCCCUUCCGUAGAAGACACCAAGAUUUUGUUCUUAACGAUCCCUACGCCGCCCCCGGCGGUCCGCCUCCUUUGAAGAGGAGGAGGAUGAGGUCCGAUGGUUUUACGUGGGACGGUCGCGCUGGUGGUAAUAUAGCGUCCACCAGUAGCAGUUCCUUUCUGCAGCCGCCUAGGAGAGGUGUUGAUGCGCGCUACGGUCCCCCAAGCGCCGGACAGAAUCACGCGCCGGUGAGGUCGGAAGGGGAGAACGCUGCUUUCGUGUCGAGGGAUGAGAUCGAAAGGUGCUCUCCGUCUCGAAAGGAUGGCAUCGAUCCCUUGCUCGAGACACAGCUGCGGUACUCCUACUGCUCGUACCUUCAGAAUCUCGGGAUGAGACUCGAGCUGCCGCAAACUACUAUUGGAACAGCGAUGGUUCUUUGCCACCGCUUCUUUUUCCGGAGGUCCCAUGCUUGCCACGAUAGAUUUAUGAUUGCGACAGCAGCUCUGUUCCUGGCAGCAAAGUCUGAGGAAACACCAUGUGUCUUGAACUCUAUGCUCAGGGCAUCAUGUGAAACUUCUCAAGAACUAGAGCUUUCUUACUAUCCAUACUUGCAUCAUAAGGAUUGGUUUGAGCAAUACCGUGAACGGGUCAUUGAAACUGAACAAAAGAUACUAACUACUCUGGAUUUUGAACUUGAAGUGGAGCACCCAUAUGUCCCUCUUGCAUCAGUACUUAACAAACUUGGACUUUCACAAUCUGUUCUUCUUACAGUCGCUUGGAAUUUUGUCAGUGAAGGGUAUGGAUCUUGGUUGUGCUAUUUGCCUAUUGCUUUCGCCAUGUCAACUCAUCUAUUUCAUUUGGAAUGGAAGGUUUAGUUUGUUCGACAAGUAUCGAAUUGAUAUUUUUAUUCAUCGGUACCUAAUGUUAUUAGUUAUCAUACAUUUUGUUUUGGCUUGUUAGUUAUUUCAAGCAUAUGUGUCAAGCAUAAUGUUAUUAGUUAUCAUACAUUUUGAAGUUUUUUUUGCAGAACUGUCCUUUGAUAUUGUUUUAGCAUUGGAACAUGUAAUAGUACUCUCAAUGAUAUCCAAAGUUUGAGAAUUUUCAGUCUCUUGUAUGCAUUAUAUAUAGCGAUUGCUAGAUUACCAUCUUACAAAUGCAAGUCCAUUGUGGUUUAUUGCAUCGUCAGUUUUGUUUUUCACAUUUAUGUGGAAAUGGAGUUCCAUCUGGAAGUAUUUAGGUGAAGCUACUUGUUUGAGUGAUGUUAGUGCACCAUUCUUACAAGCCACUUAUUUAGGUGUUCACCAUAAUCAUUUUAUCAUGGUUUGGAAAUAUUUGAAGCCUUUUUUAAUGGUUCAAGCUCUGCUCUAGCCUUCAAGUGGAGCUUUAUCAAGUCAAAAAAUGAAUCGAGCUUGAUCUGUCCAUUAUCUGCUUGUUUCAAUUGCUAGUUACACUUGCUGAUGUGAUAUAGUGAAGCAAAGCCUCAAUUUAACUUCUUGUACCUUUGAACUUGCAAUGCAGAACUGCCUUAUCAACCAUAGGUCCUUGCUUUCAUGUCUACCAUUGUAUACAAACCUAUUGUCUUGCAUCAUUAUUUGUGGUAAUAAAGUCUAUCAUUCCUUCUUUCGUUAUAUUGAUCUACUUGAACAAGUGUGGGUAAUACUCGGGCACUGUCAAGAAGAUUUUUCUCUAUUGAUUUUUGUCUUCUGGUCUAUUUCCCGUACUGGUCUUUUGAGGUUUUUCAGGAUUUUCCUUAACUUCAUUGCAAGUAGAAUCCCUUUGAAGUUUUCCAUAUUUAACUACCUCCCCAUUCUCCUUUAUUGUUAUCUGCUUCAAGAUGUUAUGGAAGAAAAUAUGUGCUUGAUGCCUAUUUGAAAUAAAUCUUAUCUUUGACAUAUUAACUAAGUCAGACAUGAUCAAUGGUGUGAUAGACACCAUUCAAUGAUACAGAUUAUCUAAAGCACACGUUAACAUUGCUUAUGUCAUUUAUAUAAAUCAGACAAAAUUCUCCUGGAUUUCAUUAGUAUGUACUGCCAUUAUAUGUUAGCAAGAUGCAUGCCUCUAUAUCAUGGGGACGAGCAUGGGUCAUACUUGAUCCAUAGAAUUGUGUCUAUGAGUUCGGGGUUUUAAGUCAUUAGGGGGUUAGUACAAUACAAUUACUCAAGAGUCUUUGACGUUACAGAAGUUCGUUUGUUCUGCAGGCUUCUGUUGAAUGUGGUUCUUAUUUCAAAACAAAAUUUGAGUAAAAUAUGGUGUUUUCCUAAUUGCAAAUGCAAGAGAUUAAAAGACAGAAUUUCCACCUACAUUGAAAAAUCUUUUCCUACGGUACUGGAAUCGAAAGCUCUAUUUCAUUUGUCUUUUUCCUGUGUGUUUUGUGCAUAGUUAUGUGCAGUUGAAUCAUUUUAUGAUAUUUUUUCUUGAAUGACAGAGAUAAGAUGAAGAGUCUAUAUUUUUGUUUUAUUAUGCAAGUCAUCAGAUUAAUGAACUAUUAUUAAAUUAUGUAGUUUAUCAUAAGCAUGUUCUUGCAUCUUGAUAAAUGCAUCACCCCACACUUUCCUGAUAUUCUUAGGUUUUAGGAUAAUUAUGUAAUUCAUGCAUAGAUGAAGUAAUCUAUAUAGAACUGUGAUUAUGGUACAUGAUGUUCCUUGAACUGUCAUUUUAAUCUGUAUCAAACAUUCUGUCUCCAGAAUUUAAAGACCACUUUUUAUGAGUUUGGCAAUUUUAGUUCUGGAUGGUAAAUCAUUUUGAGUAACUUCUUAGGCCUCUGAAAAAGAGGCCUGAAGAAAUAGGCCACAAGCAAGUGAAUGGCUUACAACUCAAACUAGACUAGUUGUUUUUUGUGUGAUGAAUUCUUGGAUUCUAAAGCGUUGCUCCUUUUCUCGUUGCGGUUAUCAAUAUGUUUACUCUUUUAAGUUCAUCUAUUGGAGGUUGUGACAGUAGCAGUCAUGUCUAAUGAACAACUGAAUUUUUGAAUAAUUUGAAAGGAUUGUUAUGGCAGUAUUUUUUUUCUCUUUUUGGUGAUUAAGCUUCUUUUUUUUCUCAUACGGAGACAUAGAUAUCUAUAUGCUAGUGAUGCAUUUUCUGGUUUUCUAUAUGCGUGUUCUCUUGGAACAUUUUUUGGAUGAGCAUGGUUCUAUAUUGACACCAAUAUAUAAACCAAUGGCCAAAUGGGUACUAAUUUUUGCCUUUUUUGUGUCUUCAUGUGGAAUUAUUGUGUGCAAACUCAGUGUUUUAAAAGGGCACCCGGGCGCUUGCCUAGGCGCUCAAGCGAAGUGAGGCGAGGCUUGAGCGCCUCGGACAGUUGUUGAGCAAUGCGCUUCAAUGAAGCACUGCCCGGGCGCCUCGGGUGAGCGCUUGGUUGAAGGCGAGCAAUCGAACCAUAACUUUGGUUUGGUUGAACUGUAACUUUGUUGGUUCAAUUAAACCAACUAAGCAUAAUAAAAUAGUAACAAUAAAACCCCCCGCACGCUCCUCCCUCGACGUAUGACCUAUAAACCCUAGGUCUUUGCCGCCCUGACUCACCUCUGGUUCUGCUAGCCACUGCCUCCACCGUCGAUGCACAGGUCCAACGCUCCUACCGUCGAUGGACGGGUCCGAUGUUCCCACUACUGUAUCUUUCAUGCGUAGUUCCCUCCACCGCCACUGCUUCCAUGUGCAACUCCUUUUGUCGUUGAGGGAUAGGUUCGCAGCUUCCUCUACCACUGAUGGACACAUCUGAAGCUUCCUUUGCCCUUGAUGCCAUCGUCUGUAGCUUCCUCUACCAUCGUUGUCAUUGUCCGCCGCUUUCUCCGUCGUCGUUGUUGCCGUCCGUGGCUUCCUCCGUCGUCGUUGUCAUCGUCGGAAGGUUCCCCCGUCACCACUGCCCUCUCCUUCCCCACGUUCCACCAUUGGUGACACCUUUUCUCUCUCUUUAUUGUUAUGACUAUUGUUAACAGUGGAUUAAAUAUUGUUAACAGUAGAUUGCUAAUCCUUAACUAAUAUUAAAACUAUUGUUACCAUAUAAUAAACUAAAACUGAUAUUAAUCCUUAGAACUGUCGACCUAUUUAGAACAAAUUCUUAUUUAGAAUUCUUAAUCCUUAUUUACCAUUGUUAAUCGCUAUUUAGAUUUGUAAUUAGCCCCUAUUUAGCACUGUUAAUCUUUAUUUAUUUAGAAUUGUUAUUAGGGUUUUAGGAUUAAUGGCAAGUGUGCAAAGCAAUAAGGGAGAUUCAUCAAAAAAUUCAAUUUAAUGUCAUAUUUUUAUUUAUAUAAUCAUAUUUAUCAAUUAUAUUAUAUAUUUUUUAUAUUUUAAUAUUCUAGGUGAGCAUCUAGGCCUCGAGAAAUUGGGACCUUGGAUCCUUUUGGCGCCUAGCACUUUUAAAAACAUUGCAAACUAAAGAAAGCAUGGAUUGACUUAUUUUUGGAUUUAAUGUUUGUGGUAUGCUUUUCUUUGUAGAUCUUUGAUAGUUCGUUUGACAUUUUAUUUUUUGUUUGUUGGAACUCAGGAGUAUUUUCGAAUGUUGGAAUUAUAUAUCUUUGAAUGUUGGAAUUAUAUGGCAAUGAUCUAAACAUGGGUCCGAUAUUGGUUUGACAACCGAUUGGAUUGGCAUACUGGGUAUUAUACCGACUUGUACCUUAGCAUGUUACUGAAAAAUAUAAAAAAUAGAAUAUCAGUCAGUGCCGACUGGUUGGUACAAACCAGUUUGAUUGGUAUUUGAAACCUUAUUACAUAAUUUUUUUUAUCUUUUAUUAAUAUGGUUUUUGUGUCUUGUCCUUGUACUACAAUAUUUCUGCAGGUCAUUUUUUCUUGUGUCAUAUUGAUUGUUUGAUAUGUCAUAAAUUGCAGGGUUUUCUUCACAAGACUAAUGUGCUAUAUGUGAUAUUCUUAGCUGGAGGAUAUGCGUUCAUGCAAAGCACUUUUUGACGAAUAGCAAGAGUUGGACAAAUAUUAGAUGAAAAGUAUUAAUAUGAUUUUGAAUUGGUUAUCACACAAUUAAUGGAUCUCAAGCACUUUGCAUCACGGGAUCUCUAAUUAUUCUUCUUGAUUUCAGAUGCCUGAGAUCCUUUCCUGGUGACUUGGCAAUUAAACACUAAAGCCAGUCUUCCUAUUUUGUUCUUUGAUUUUCAUUUAAUUUCUUGAUUCCUGUAUUAUGGUCAGAUUUGAUAUCAUCGUCCUCCUGUGUCCCUCGAGUCUUCUACUAUCUUUUGUUUGUGUUAUUUUAGUUGCUCACUCCUGUUCUUUAGUGGAUCUUUUCUGUACAGUCCAAUUCUGCUCUUCUCCAAGUGUCAACUUUUAUAUACUAAUCACAAAGUUGAAACUUAUAGAACCAUUUUUUGUUUAUUUUCUCCUCUCUCUCUCUCUCUCUCUCUCUCUCUCUCUCUCUCUCUCUCUGCCUUCUGUCCUUCCAUAACUAACUGGAAUCAGAACCAAAUCUUAUCCCUUUGCAUCUUUUUUCAGCAUGCAAGUUAAAUGAAAUUUUUUACUUACAGACUUAACACAAUGAUAAUAUACCAGAGCCAGCAAUACUCUUAAGAAUAGGUAGUUCUAUAUAUGCUAUAAUACUCUAAGAGAAUGAUUAAGAACAUAACAUUCCUAAACUUUUGUAGCCAACAGUUUGCCAGUGAUGUCCUUUAUUUCUUAUUUGCAUUGAGGUAAAAACAGGUGUUUGCUAUGUCAUCUGUAUGAGUUCCAAACAGCUUCUUCUAGUAAGGUAUCUUUUUAUGCUAGUAAAAAUAUCAAUAUCCUAAAAUAAUAAAUUGUUUCCCAGAAUGUUUCAUUUACUAGUAUGAGCAUUGCAUGGUCAUCUACAGGUAUAUGUGUGUGGAAUUGAGGGUGAUGGUUGACCGAAAGUUGUUAUAGAUCUCUUGGCUUCCCACAACACCAUGGUGAUCUGGAGUUGAAUUUAAAAUGAUGUCUUGCUUAAGUUCAAUAGGCUGAAUCUUGUUCCAACUACUUAAGGACCAUCGGAUGUGUAAAUACACAUCUAUUAAUUGUUUUUGUUCAAAAUGAGAAGCUACAAGCAUCCAGGAGAGAUUUGUUUUCUCUCUCUUUGUGUCACAAAUUUCUACUACUUUCCUGAUUGAGUAUAUGGAUAAUGGGAGGGGGAACUUUGACGGGAGCAUUCCUGAGUUCAGGAAUUGGUGCAUAGUUACCAAAGACAUGCUAUAGUUUAGCUCUAACACAGAAUUUCAACUGAAGAUUCUCAGACUAUAUAUCAGCUGGACUGCUGCUUUGAUAUUUGGUAAGGAGUCUUUGGCAUGUAGGCUUGUUUGUUCUGCUCCAUGAUUCUUAUCCUGUCAUAAUUUUAUAUUUGUUAUCUCAUCCGUUUUGCUUAUGUUAAUUCUUGGAGCACGUCAUGUAACUUGGGACACUAAAACAUUGCCACAGAAAAAUGGUUUGGCUAUUAGCUUAUCAUCUUUAGCUUGUUAUUGCCCCUGAUCAUAACAAUGGACCAAUUGUUUAAUCAAAUGCUUAUGGUUUUAUAAUUUUGCAGAUACCGCAGUUCUCUUUGCCUUCAGUUUAAGCCUCGUCAUAUCGCUGCUGGAGCUGUAUUGCUUGCCGCCAAGUGCCUAAACUAUGAGCUUGCUCUUUAUCCAAGUUUUUGGCAUGAGUUCCGGACGACACCAGCUAUCCUUCAGGAUAUUGUCCAACAGUUGAUGGAGCUUCUCUGAGACGAGACCGAUUAUUGUGCUUAGAUGUUAUACGACAGGUUUGUAGUAUGGAUCCAUCAGAUUGUAUUAGUUCCAAUGUUCCCCUAUCAAGAAAGAUUUAAGCCUCUAUUUGAUUUUCAGCCAGCUAAGUUUCUCUCCAGUGCUUGCAAUAGUGAUUGAAAUCAUAGUCUUUUAGCACUCAAGUUUCUAAUGUACCACACACUCCUUUUUGUAACCUUUACUGAAGUUAUAAAAAUUUUCUGGUUUUAUCAAA